GUAUGCUUUGUGGUUCCAGCCUGGGAAGUCACCUAUUCAAGCUUUUCUUGACCCUCUCAUCAAGCAAAUUGGUGUGCUUUCAAGUGAAGGUGCUCUAUUUGAGACUGCUAGAGGAAUGCAGCGUUGUAGAGCUCGCCUUGUCUUGGUGACAUGUGACCUCCCAGCUAGGGCAAUGCUACUGUGCAUGAAAAUUGUUAAUGGCAUUGCUGCAUGUUGCUAUGGUUACCAUCCUGGAAUGACUAUUGGAGAUGACCAUUUACAUCGGUACUGGCUGUACGAUGGUACUUUAGAGAGAAGAACGCAUGAAUCUAUGAAACAAGAUGUUCUAACUGCAACAGCAACUAAUUCAGCACAGCACCGGGUUUCAACAUGGUCGACAAUGUUACAAUUGAUUAUAUGCAUGUAGUGUAUCUCGGCAUUGUUCGGGCACUUCUUGAUAUGUGGUUGACUCAACAAUCUGAAUCUUACUUUAUUGGUGAUAAGGUUGUGUUUCUGGAUAGACGCCUUCUUUCCAUAUGUCCACCGAUUGUUAUCAAUUGCAGUCCACACACUAUGAAGGAAUUCUAUACUUGGGAAAGCUAAUGAGCUUCGCUCCUGGCCAUUCCAUUGGUCAUUGCCUGUCUUACGUGGAGUUCUUCCAACAGAAUACUUUGUCCAUUAUUCUUUGCUGGUGAUUGGUUGCCGAUUGCUUUAUCAAAGUUAUAUAUCAAGAGAGCAAAUAGAAGAGGCUCAUAAACUGCUGCUGAAGUUUUAUCAAAUUUAUGAAGUUUUAUAUGGCACAAAAGCAGUGACUAUGAAAGUACACCUUCUGCAGCAUUUGCGAGAAGUGCUUUGUGGGGUCAUUCCUGCUUUUGGUAUGAAUCCCUAAAUGGAGUUCUUAAAAGUUUGUACACGGCACACGAUUUGUUUGCAGCCAGGUUGCAUCAGUUGUUAUGAUCAUUAAGACCAUUUCAGAUGUGCUACCAUCACUGACUGACCAGCUAUUAGCACCACCUGUAGUUUGUUUGGCUACAAAAUUUGGACUGAUAUGGUCCCUUUUUGAAGUGGAAGAUUCUGUGAAAGUUUUUUGUCUACCGGAUCUGUUUGUUGACCCAAUCAAUGUUGUUUUGAGGAGGCUUGGCAAUGAGGAACUUUGUUGUGGUUCGCUUGUCAAAACUGUUGGGAGACUGAAACUAGCUGGUCAUGUGAUGCAAUCCAAGAAAGUCACGUGACAAAGAAAAAUUCUUAUAUUGUUGAAUUUACUGAAUGUCAUGAAGAACAGCUGUUGUUUGAUUAUGUAUUACUCUUUAUCAUUUUUGGAUGUGAACGGUUUGCUGUUAUUCAACGGCUUAAAUUGGAGGAGUGGCCAUUAUUGCAUAAUGAUAAUUACUGCAUGACCGAUGUUGUCGAUGCUUGCAGUAAUCUUCAGGAGCUGAUCGGAAAGCAUUUACUUCCUGCUCAAGAGACUCAGGACCUGGUAGCAAUUCCUGUAGGAGACAUAACAGCUCAAGUAGUCUGUAUGAGAAUGUUAGGUUCAAGCUGUAUUUUUGUGUCUCGAUUUCCUGACAUUAUUGAGUGUGAUUGAGUUGUGAAAUACUCAAGAAAUGGUCUUCA